CAAACGACUCUCGGCAACGGAUAUCUCGGCUCACGCAUCGAUGAAGAACGUAGCAAAAUGCGAUACUUGGUGUGAAUUGCAGAAUCCCGUGAACCAUCGAGUUUUUGAACGCAAGUUGCGCCCGAAGCCAUUCGGCCGAGGGCACGUCUGCCUGGGCGUCACA
rnacentral:rRNA from 4 species